ACGGAAGGCAGCAGUGGGGAAUAUUGCACAAUGGGGGAAACCCUGAUGCAGCGACGCCGCGUGAGUGAAGAAGUAUUUCGGUAUGUAAAGCUCUAUCAGCAGGGAAGAAAAUGACGGUACCUGACUAAGAAGCCCCGGCUAACUACGUGCCAGCAGCCGCGGUAAUACGUAGGGGGCAAGCGUUAUCCGGAUUUACUGGGUGUAAAGGGUGCGUAGGCGGCAUGGCAAGUCAGAUGUGAAAGACCGGGGCUCAACUCCGGGGCUGCAUUUGAAACUGCCAGGCUGGAGUACUGGAGAGGCAGGCGGAAUUCCUAGUGUAGCGGUGAAAUGCGUAGAUAUUAGGAGGAACACCAGUGGCGAAGGCGGCCUGCUGGACUGUUACUGACGCUGAGGCACGAAAGCGUGGGGAGCAAACAGGAUUAGAUACCCUGGUA
rnacentral:rRNA from 1 species